UACAGAGGGUGCGAGCGUUAAUCGGAAUUACUGGGCGUAAAGCGUGUGUAGGCGGCUUUGUAAGUCGGAUGUGAAAGCCCCGGGCUCAACCCGGGAAGUGCACUCGAUACUGCGAAGCUUGAGUACUGGAGAGGUUGGUGGAAUUCUCGGUGUAGAGGUGAAAUUCGUAGAUAUCGAGAGGAACACCGGUGGCGAAGGCGGCCAACUGGACAGAUACUGACGCUGAGACACGAAAGCGUGGGGAGCAAACAGG
rnacentral:rRNA from 1 species